rnacentral:misc_RNA from 1 species
GAUGAAGAACGUAGCGAAAUGCGAUAAGUAGUGUGAAUUGCAGAAAUCAGUGAAUCAUCGAAUCUUUGAACGCACAUUGCGCCCCUUGGUAUUCCAUGGGGCAUGCCUGUUCGAGCGUCAUUUGUACCUUCAAGCUCUGCUUGGUGUUGGGUGUUUGUCUCGCCUCUGCGUGUAGACUCGCCUUAAAACAAUUGGCAGCCGGCGUAUUGAUUUCGGAGCGCAGUACAUCUCGCGCUUUGCACUCAUAACGACGACGUCCAAAAGUACAUUUUUACACUCUUGACCUCGGAUCAGGUAGGGAUACCCGCUGAACUUAAGCAUAUCAAUAAGCGGAGGA